UACGUAGGGGCGAGCGUUGUCCGGAUUUAUUGGGCGUAAAGAGCGUGUAGGCGGCCAGGUAGGUCUGCUGUGAAAACUCGAGGCUCAACCUCGAGACGUCGGCGGAAACCAUCUGGCUAGAGUCCGGAAGAGGAAAGUGGAAUUCCUGGUGUAGCGGUGAAAUGCGCAGAUAUCAGGAAGAACACCAAUGGCGAAAGCAGCUUCUGGACGGUACUGACGCUGAGACGCGAAAGCGUGGGGAGCGAACAGG
rnacentral:rRNA from 1 species